GGGGCUGAUUCUGGAUUCGACGGGAUUUGCGAAACCCAAGGUGCAUGCCGAGGGGCGGUUGGCCUCGUAAAAAGCCGCAAAAAAUAGUCGCAAACGACGAAAACUAUGCUUUAGCAGCUUAAUAACCUGCUUAGAGCCCUCUCUCCCUAGCCUCCGCUCUUAGGACGGGGAUCAAGAGAGGUCAAACCCAAAAGAGAUCGCGUGGAAGCCCUGCCUGGGGUUGAAGCGUUAAAACUUAAUCAGGCUAGUUUGUUAGUGGCGUGUCCGUCCGCAGCUGGCAAGCGAAUGUAAAGACUGACUAAGCAUGUAGUACCGAGGAUGUAGGAAUUUCGGACGCGGGUUCAACUCCCGCCAGCUCCACCA
rnacentral:tmRNA from 1 species